rnacentral:misc_RNA from 1 species
UAUGAAGAACGUAGCGAAAUGCGAUACGUAAUGUGAAUUGCAGAAUUCAGUGAAUCAUCGAAUCUUUGAACGCAUAUUGCGCUCUCUGGUAUUCCGGAGAGCAUGCUUGUUUGAGUAUCAGUAAACACCUCAACUUCCAUAUCUUUUUUGAAAUGGGAGUUGGACUUGAGUGAUCCCAACGCUUUUCCUCACCGAAAAGUGGCGGGUUACUUGAAAUGCAGGUGCAGCUGGACUUUUCUCUGAGCUAUAAGCAUAUCUAUUUAGUCUGCCUAAAAAACAGAUUAUUACCUUUGCUGCAGCUAACAUAAAGGAGAUUAGUUCUUGUGCUGACUGAUGCAGGAUUCACAAAGACAGGCUUCGGCCGACUUUGUAAACUCGAUCUCAAAUCAAGUAAGACUACCCGCUGAACUUAAGCAUAUCAAUAAGCGGAGGA